rnacentral:tmRNA from 1 species
CAGCAAAAAGAUUGGACUCCGAAUAAUUACACCAUUACCAAUGAGACAUGCUAUAGUUGGAGCAACACCACUAAUAACUCUAGCAAGAGUGAUAAACAGAACUAUCAGACUGAACAAAAGAGUGUGUGAACUAUUCCCCUCAAUCUCUUCAACAGAGUUUUUAUUUGACACGGGUAUCUACAGCCAGGGUCGCUGCAUUCGCCUGCCACACACCUACAAAUUUACAUCUACAGGAUUGCCUGAGAGACUGCUAAAAUUGUUUGUCUGUCACCCAUUUCCAGAUAAGACCUCCUAUGUCAAGAACAGCUUCGUGCUGACAAACCUUUUGUAUCACAGUACCAGUGAGGAUCUAAGAUCUGGAGAUUAUAAUCUAAUAUUGGACAUUCGUGAUAAAGAUGAGGAUUUUUUAUCCUGCAAGACUGUGGCCAGCUUACCAAAAAAUUCUCUAGAUAUUGACAAACUGGAAGAUAUUUUGGGGUGCCCGGUCCAGUCCUGGAUAGACACCACCUUGUGGCCAUUGUUUUGUGAGCAGUUAGUCAAAUAUCUGCCACAGAAAAAUGCAAAUGAACUAAACAACAUUUCAUUUAACGUUGUGUCUAACAACAUGCUACAACUGAAACCUCGCAGAGGUCCAGGCUUCUCCUGUCUGACUCAUCAACACAGAACAAAAUCACAUAAUGUGAGGCUUUUCAUAACCCUGGGAAAGUUCUCACGUGACGUCAUAACUGCAACACUUAUGAGUCAAUGCUUUGCCAAUAAGUGCAACAACAAUAAGCCUGUGACACAUUGCACCGUGCAUGCUCGAGUGUAGAGGACUCUCCGAUCCUGGGCACCAUACAGUACCCACAGCUCGCAGAAUGGCACAGCAGAUGUUGGAGGCGGGCGCGCUGGACCAAAUGAUGGAAGGACUACCAUCUGAUUUUGACUUUGAUACAUCUGAUGAAGAAGGUGAGCUCUCAGAUUCUCCACCAGUUGAGGAGCCAACGGGGCCAGUCCGGGAUGUGGUGUACGAACCUGACCCACUCUUCGACGACCCACCACCAACACCCUCGCCAGACGUCAAGCCACCUUCUCCAAAGGCUAGAAAGCGCGCCCUGUCUCCUGAAAUUGUCCACAACUCUCCUCUGCUUAGAGAUACAACAAAGUAUGAGCCUGCACCCAAAAGAAGCUAUUCUUACCACCCCAGACGCAGUCCACAGAGAGAAAAUGCUAACCAGAAGCAGAAAAGGGGACCAGACUCACGAAGACCAAACAGAUGGAACCAGAAAAGCCAGAAACAAUAUUGGUCCCCCAAACCUCUUCUGGAUUACAGCAAAAUUCCAAGAGCAGAGUACAAAAAUGCCAAACUGUUGGUGCCUACAACUGGUAAACUGCGCCCAGAGUUCUAUACUGAUCGGUUUGUGGAUGCUAUAAUUCAGAACGCUGCCAGAAAUUGUCCAGUGUCUGAAAAGGCGGUAUCACUAAAAAAUAUUGAAGAGUCUUUCAAACUGCUUAACUCUUUCUUUAACAGUGGAAUAAAUAAGGAUCAUUGGCUAUCUACAAGGUAUUUUGCAAUCUUCAACAACGGCCUGGUGGUGCUGACCCACAUGCUAGACGAACAGUUGGCCUGGGCAUAUGCUUGCCUGAAACACGGUAGGGAGUUGCCCACUGACGACAUACUCAUGUCUACUUCAGAAAAAUUGUCCCAACAGCUUGUGAUAAAACUCAUAGAGGUGAUAAAAUGUAUAGAAAAGGAUGGAAUAUUCAGCAGGAUCCUCAAAGGUGUGGCAGAUGCGGUAUGCCUUAAGGCCCAGUUCUUACGUGGUAUGAUCACCCUGAAGAGAACCCCUUGCAGCCUUCCCAUGUAUACCCUGUUUGUUUAUGUACUGACUAUUCCCACUCUGAGAACACGUGUAAUCAGGGACCCUCUGCUGACACAGUGUAAGGAUGUGGUCCUAAAGUAUCAGCCAGGCGACUGUAUAACCCUAUUGAAAGCUGCACUAAAUUGUCAUCAGUGUAACAAAGACUGUGAUAAAUGUAAAUAUAUUUUGGAUCCCCUGUUGGGACAAACACACCGCACCAAGGGGGUAUUUUUUGUGUGUGAAUAAUCAAUAAUAAACACAAUUGAACUGCA